UACGUAGGGUGCAAGCGUUGUCCGGAAUUAUUGGGCGUAAAGAGCUCGUAGGCGGUUAGUCGCGUCUGCUGUGAAAACUCGGGGCUUAACUCCGGGCCUGCAGUGGGUACGGGCUGACUAGAGUGCGGUAGGGGAGACUGGAAUUCCUGGUGUAGCGGUGAAAUGCGUAGAUAUCUGGAGGAACACCGGUGGCGAAGGCGACAUCCUGGACCGGCAUUGACGCUGAGGCGCGAAAGCCAGGGGAGCAAACGGG
rnacentral:rRNA from 1 species